AGAUCAAAGACAACGAUCGCAUCUGCGUAACAUCUCGCAUCUGCAUUGAUAACCAUUUUAAUCCCAGCUUCUACAUAACAAACCCACUUUUCCUACUCUGCAACAUUUAAUUGACCUCAUCACAACCUCAAAGUAACCAAUAAUUGACCUCAUCACAACCUCAAAGUAACCGAGAUAAGCUUCGACUAUAAAUAUCCCCAC
rnacentral:lncRNA from 1 species